AGCGGGGUGGAGCAGUUGGUAGCUUGCUGGGCUCAUAACCCAGAGGUCACGGGUUCAAGUCCCGUCCCCGCCA
rnacentral:tRNA from 1 species